GACGGAUUUUUGUCAGAAGAGACUCCCCUCCCGGACCAGCGCUCUUCGGCAGAGGAAGGAUUCCCUGCAUCUCCUGCUCCAAUUAAGAGACUGAAACGCGCAUUGUGCUGUCUACGUGCCUUGAAUUUGGGAAGCCGGUACUUCACAGUUUGAGGGCGACUUUUUUUGUGACAAAACCUGAAUCUUUUAGGAAAACCCCUACAAGAGAAGUGGGAAGGACCUUUCCAAGUGCUGCUGACUACCUUCACCGCGGUCCGGAUCAAG